rnacentral:rRNA from 2 species
UGUGUAGGCGGCCGCGCAAGUCGGAUGUGAAAGCCCCGGGCUCAACCCGGGAAGUGCACCCGAAACUGCGUGGCUUGAGUACCGGAGAGGUUGGUGGAAUUCUCGGUGUAGAGGUGAAAUUCGUAGAUAUCGAGAGGAACACCGGUGGCGAAGGCGGCCAACUGGACGAGUACUGACGCUGAGACACGAAAGCGUGGGGAGCAAACAGGAUUAGAUACCCUGGUAGUCCACGCCGUAAACGAUGGGUGCUAGGUGUCACGGGCUUUGACUCCUGUGGUGCCGUAGCCAACGCAUUAAGCACCCCGCCUGGGAAGUACGGCCGCAAGGCUAAA